CACAGAGGCCUCGAGCGUUAGGCGGAAUCACUGGGCUUAAAGCGUGUGUAGGUGGAGUUCUAAGUACCUUGUGAAAUCCCACGGCUCAACCGUGGAACUGCUGGGUAUACUGGUUCUCUUGAGGUACCUAGGGGCGAGCGGAACAAGUGGUGGAGCGGUGAAAUGCGUAGAUAUCACUUGGAACGCCAACGGUGAAAACAGCUCGCUGGGGGUAUCCUGACACUGAGACACGAAAGCCAGGGGAGCAAACGGG
rnacentral:rRNA from 1 species